rnacentral:rRNA from 1 species
UACGUAGGGUGCAAGCGUUGUCCGGAAUUAUUGGGCGUAAAGAGCGUGUAGGCGGCCAGGCAGGUCCGCUGUGAAAACUCGAGGCUCAACCUCGAGAUGUCGGUGGAAACCGUCUGGCUAGAGUCCGGAAGAGGAGAGUGGAAUUCCCGGUGUAGCGGUGAAAUGCGCAGAUAUCGGGAAGAACACCCGUGGCGAAGGCGGCUCUCUGGGACGGUACUGACGCUGAGACGCGAAAGCGUGGGGAGCGAACAGG